GAGAGUUUGAUCCUGGCUCAGAUUGAACGCUGGCGGCAUGCUUUACACAUGCAAGUCGAACGGCAGCACGGGCUUCGGCCUGGUGGCGAGUGGCGAACGGGUGAGUAAUACAUCGGAACGUACCCAGAAGUGGGGGAUAACGUAGCGAAAGUUACGCUAAUACCGCAUACGUUCUACGGAAGAAAGUGGGGGAUCGCAAGACCUCAUGCUUUUGGAGCGGCCGGUGUCUGAUUAGCUAGUUGGUGAGGUAAAAGCUCACCAAGGCGACGAUCAGUAGCUGGUCUGAGAGGACGACCAGCCACACUGGAACUGAGACACGGUCCAGACUCCUACGGGAGGCAGCAGUGGGGAAUUUUGGACAAUGGGCGCAAGCCUGAUCCAGCAAUGCCGCGUGAGUGAAGAAGGCCUUCGGGUUGUAAAGCUCUUUUGUCAGGGAAGAAACGGUAGAGGCUAAUAUCCUUUGCUAAUGACGGUACCUGAAGAAUAAGCACCGGCUAACUACGUGCCAGCAGCCGCGGUAAUACGUAGGGUGCAAGCGUUAAUCGGAAUUACUGGGCGUAAAGCGUGCGCAGGCGGUUUUGUAAGUCUGACGUGAAAGCCCCGGGCUCAACCUGGGAAUUGCGUUGGAGACUGCAAGGCUUGAAUCUGGCAGAGGGGGGUAGAAUUCCACGUGUAGCAGUGAAAUGCGUAGAGAUGUGGAGGAACACCGAUGGCGAAAGCAGCCCCCUGGGUCAAGAUUGACGCUCAUGCACGAAAGCGUGGGGAGCAAACAGGAUUAGAUACCCUGGUAGUCCACGCCCUAAACGAUGUCUACUAGUUGUCGGGUUUUAAUUAACUUG
rnacentral:rRNA from 1 species